rnacentral:rRNA from 1 species
GAUGAACGCUGGCGGCGUGCCUAAUACAUGCCAGUCGAGCGAACAGACGAGGAGCUUGCUCCUUUGACGUUAGCGGCGGACGGGUGAGUAACACGUAGGUAACCUACCUAUAAGACUGGGAUAACUUCGGGAAACCGGAGCUAAUACCGGAUAAUAUUUCGAACCGCAUGGUUCGAUAGUGAAAGAUGGCUUUGCUAUCACUUAUAGAUGGACCUGCGCCGUAUUAGCUAGUUGGUAAGGUAACGGCUUACCAAGGCAACGAUACGUAGCCGACCUGAGAGAGUGAUCGGCCACACUGGAACUGAGACACGGUCCAGACUCCUACGGGAGGCAGCAGUAGGGAAUCUUCCGCAAUGGGCGAAAGCCUGACGGAGCAACGCCGCGUGAGUGAUGAAGGUCUUCGGAUCGUAAAACUCUGUUAUUAGGGAAGAACAAACGUGUAAGUAACUGUGCACGUCUUGACGGUACCUAAUCAGAAAGCCACGGCUAACUACGUG